rnacentral:rRNA from 1 species
UACGGGGGGGGCAAGCGUUGUUCGGAAUUACUGGGCGUAAAGGGCUCGUAGGCGGCCAACUAAGUCAGACGUGAAAUCCCUCGGCUUAACCGGGGAACUGCGUCUGAUACUGGAUGGCUUGAAUCCGGGAGAGGGAUGCGGAAUUCCAGGUGUAGCGGUGAAAUGCGUAGAUAUCUGGAGGAACACCGGUGGCGUAGGCGGCAUCCUGGACCGGCAUUGACGCUGAGGAGCGAAAGCCAGGGGAGCAAACGGG